GUCCACGCCUAACGAUGUCAACUGGUUGUUGGACGGCUUGCUGUUCAGUAACGAAGCUAACGCGUGAAGUUGACCGCCUGGGAGUACGGCCGCAAGGUUGAACUCAAGGAAUUGACGGGACCCGCACAAGCGGUGGAUGAUGUGGUUAAUUCGAUGCAACGCGAAACCUUACCUACCCUUGACAUGUCAAGAAUUUUGCAGAGAUGUGAAAGUGCUCGAAAGAGAACUUGAACACAGGUGCUGCAUGGCCGUCGU
rnacentral:rRNA from 1 species